GCAAGUCGAGCGCACCUUCGGGUGAGCGGCGGACGGGUUAGUAACGCGUGGGAACAUACCCUUUUCUACGGAAUAGCCUCGGGAAACUGAGAGUAAUACCGUAUACGCCCUAUGGGGGAAAGAUUUAUCGCCGAGAGAUUGGCCCGCGUUAGAUUAGAUAGUUGGUGGGGUAAUGGCCUACCAAGUCUACGAUCUAUAGCUGGUUUUAGAGGAUGAUC
rnacentral:rRNA from 1 species